UACAGAGGCCUCGAGCGUUAGGCGGAAUCACUGGGCUUAAAGCGUGUGUAGGCGGACUUCUAAGUACCUUGUGAAAUCCCACGGCUUACCCGUGGAACGGCUGGGCAUACUGGUCGUCUUGAGCCAUCUAGGGGCUACCGGAACAAAUGGUGGAGCGGUGAAAUGCGUAGAUAUCAUUUGGAACGCCAAUGGUGAAAACAGGUAGCUGGGGAUUUGCUGACGCUGAGACACGAAAGCCAGGGGAGCGAACGGG
rnacentral:rRNA from 1 species